UGGUGGAGUGAUUUGUCUGGUUAAUUCCGAUAACGAACGAGACUCUUACCUGCUAAAUAGUCACCACGUGCAUUUAAUGGUUGCGUGGAUUUGACUUCUUAGAGGGAUUCGUCACUCUCCAAGUGGCACGAAACUAGAGCAAUAACA
rnacentral:rRNA from 1 species